UACAGAGGUGCCAAGCGUUAGGCGGAAUCACUGGGCUUAAAGCGCGUGUAGGUGGGUCGUUAAGUGUCCGCGUGAAAUCCCACGGCUCAACCGUGGAACUGCCGGGCAUACUGGCGAUCUUGAGGCAUUCAGGGGCGAGCGGAACAAAUGGUGGAGCGGUGAAAUGCGUAGAUAUCACUUGGAACGCCAAUGGUGAAAACAGCUCGCUGGGGGUGUGCUGACGCUGAGACACGAAAGCCAGGGGAGCAAACGGG
rnacentral:rRNA from 1 species